rnacentral:tRNA from 1 species
GGCCCCGUAGCUCAGGGGAUAGAGCGUUGGUUUCCUAAACCAUGCGUCGGGAGUUCGAAUCUCUCCGGGGCCG